rnacentral:rRNA from 1 species
GACGAACGCUGGCGGCGUGCUUAACACAUGCAAGUCGAACGGAAAGGCCCUGCUUUUGUGGGGUGCUCGAGUGGCGAACGGGUGAGUAACACGUGAGUAACCUGCCCUUGACUUUGGGAUAACUUCAGGAAACUGGGGCUAAUACCGGAUAGGAGCUCCUGCUGCAUGGUGGGGGUUGGAAAGUUUCGGCGGUUGGGGAUGGACUCGCGGCUUAUCAGCUUGUUGUGGGGGUAGUGGCUUACCAAGGCUUUGACGGGUAGCCGGCCUGAGAGGGUGACCGGCCACAUUGGGACUGAGAUACGGCCCAGACUCCUACGGGAGGCAGCAGUGGGGAAUAGUGCACAAUGGGCGGAAGCCUGAUGCAGCAACGCCGCGUGCGGGAUGACGGCCUUCGGGUUGUAAACCGCUUUCGCCUGUGACGAAGCGUGAGUGACGGUAAUGGGUAAAGAAGCACCGGCUAACUACGUG